AGUGAACGCUGGCGGUAGGCCUAACACAUGCAAGUCGAACGGCAGCACAGUAAGAGCUUGCUCUUACGGGUGGCGAGUGGCGGACGGGUGAGGAAUACAUCGGAAUCUACUUUUUCGUGGGGGAUAACGUAGGGAAACUUACGCUAAUACCGCAUACGACCUACGGGUGAAAGCAGGGGAUCUUCGGACCUUGCGCGAUUGAAUGAGCCGAUGUCGGAUUACCUAGUUGGCGGGGUAAAGGCCCACCAAGGCGACGAUCCGUAGCUGGUCUGAGAGGAUGAUCAGCCACACUGGAACUGAGACACGGUCCAGACUCCUACGGGAGGCAGCAGUGGGGAAUAUUGGACAAUGGGCGCAAGUCUGAUCCAGCCAUACCGCGUGGGUGAAGAAGGCCUUCGGGUUGUAAAGCCCUUUUGUUGGGAAAGAAAAGCAGCAGGUUAAUACCCCGCUGUUCUGACGGUACCCAAAGAAUAAGCACCGGCUAACUUCGUG
rnacentral:rRNA from 1 species